rnacentral:rRNA from 1 species
GCUCAAAUUUGAAAUCUAGCACUUUCAGUGUUCGAGUUGUAAUUUGAAGAAGGUAACUUUGGAAUUGGCUCUUGUCUAUGUUCCUUGGAACAGGACGUCACAGAGGGUGAGAAUCCCGUGCGAUGAGAUGUCCAAUUCUAUGUAAAGUGCUUUCGAAGAGUCGAGUUGUUUGGGAAUGCAGCUCUAAGUGGGUGGUAAAUUCCAUCUAAAGCUAAAUAUUGGCGAGAGACCGAUAGCGAACAAGUACAGUGAUGGAAAGAUGAAAAGAACUUUGAAAAGAGAGUGAAAAAGUACGUGAAAUUGUUGAAAGGGAAGGGCUUGAGAUCAGACUUGGUAUUUUGUGUUCCUUAUCCUUCUUGGAUUAGGUUCCUCACAGCUUACCGGGCCAGCAUCGGUUUGGAUGGCAGGAUAAUGACAUUGGAAUGUAGCUUUGCUUCGGUGAAGUGUUAUAGACUUUGUUGAUACUGCCUAUCUAGACCGAGGACUGCGUCUUUGACUAGGAUGCUGGCGUAAUGA